UACGUAGGGUCCGAGCGUUGUCCGGAGUUACUGGGCGUAAAGGGCGCGUAGGCGGCGUGUCAAGUCAGGCGUGAAAGCCCCGGGCUCAACCUGGGAACCGCGCUUGAGACUGGCAUGCUCGAGUUCGGGAGAGGAUGGUGGAAUUCCCAGUGUAGAGGUGAAAUUCGUAGAUAUUGGGAAGAACACCGAUGGCGAAGGCAGCUUGCUGGGACGAUACUGACGCUAAGGCUCGAAAGCGUGGGGAGCGAACAGG
rnacentral:rRNA from 1 species